UGGGGAAUUUUGGACAAUGGGGGAAACCCUGAUCCAGCCAUCCCGCGUGUGCGAUGAAGGCCUUCGGGUUGUAAAGCACUUUUGGCAGGAAAGAAACGUCGCGGGUUAAUACCCCGCGAAACUGACGGUACCUGCAGAAUAAGCACCGGCUAACUACGUGCCAGCAGCCGCGGUAAUACGUAGGGUGCAAGCGUUAAUCGGAAUUACUGGGCGUAAAGCGUGCGCAGGCGGUUCGGAAAGAAAGAUGUGAAAUCCCAGAGCUUAACUUUGGAACUGCAUUUUUAACUACCGGGCUAGAGUGUGUCAGAGGGAGGUGGAAUUCCGCGUGUAGCAGUGAAAUGCGUAGAUAUGCGGAGGAACACCGACGGCGAAGGCAGCCUCCUGGGAUAACACUGACGCUCAUGCACGAAAGCGUGGGGAGCAAAACAGGAUUAGAUACCCUGGUAGUCCACGCCCUAAACGAUGUCAACUAGCUGUUGGGGCCUUCGGGCCUUGGUAGCGCAGCUAACGCGUGAAGUUGACCGCCUGGGGAGUACGGUCGCAAGAUUAAAACUCAAAUGAA
rnacentral:rRNA from 1 species